GAGUUUGAUCUUGGCUCAGGAUGAACGCUAGCGGCAGGCUUAAUACAUGCAAGUCGAGGGGUAACAUGGGUAGCAAUACCUGAUGACGACCGGCAAACGGGUGCGGAACACGUACGCAACCUUCCCAUAACUGGUGAAUAGCCCUCCGAAAGGAGGAUUAAUACACCGUAACAUAAUGAAAUGGCAUCAUUUUAUUAUUAUAGGCUUCGGCCGGUUUUGGAUGGGCGUGCGCCUGAUUAGGUAGUUGGCGGGGUAACGGCCCACCAAGCCUGCGAUCAGUAACUGGUGUGAGAGCACGACCAGUCACACGGGCACUGAGACACGGGCCCGACUCCUACGGGAGGCAGCAGUAAGGAAUAUUGGUCAAUGGACGAAAGUCUGAACCAGCCAUGCCGCGUGAAGGAUGAAGGCCCUCUGGGUUGUAAACUUCUUUUAUCUGGGACGAAAAAGGGCAUUCUUGCUCACUUGACGGUACCAGAGGAAUAAGCACCGGCUAACUCCGUGCCAGCCGCCGCCGUAAC
rnacentral:rRNA from 1 species